AUGCACCUGUGGAGGGCACAGCAUGCAGUAGUAUAGAUUUUGCAGGUAAUCACUGCAUGUACGGUCUAGUAUCCGCUACCUAGCGGAUUUAAGAUUUUCGU
rnacentral:sRNA from 12 species